rnacentral:rRNA from 1 species
AUUGAACGCUGGCGGCAGGCCUAACACAUGCAAGUCGAGCGGAUGAAGGGAGCUUGCUCCUGGAUUCAGCGGCGGACGGGUGAGUAAUGCCUAGGAAUCUGCCUGGUAGUGGGGGAUAACGUCCGGAAACGGGCGCUAAUACCGCAUACGUCCUGAGGGAGAAAGUGGGGGAUCUUCGGACCUCACGCUAUCAGAUGAGCCUAGGUCGGAUUAGCUAGUUGGUGGGGUAAAGGCCUACCAAGGCGACGAUCCGUAACUGGUCUGAGAGGAUGAUCAGUCACACUUGAAAUGGGGAACGGGCCAGGCUCCUACGGGAGGCAGCAGUGGGGAAUAUUGGACAAUGGGCGAAAGCCUGAUCCAGCCAUGCCGCGUGUGUGAAGAAGGUCUUCGGAUUGUAAAGCACUUUAAGUUGGGAGGAAGGGCAGUAAGUUAAUACCUUGCUGUUUUGACGUUACCAACAGAAUAAGCACCGGCUAACUUCGU